rnacentral:rRNA from 1 species
ACGCUGAAGAGAGGAGCUUGCUCUUCUUGGAUGAGUUGCGAACGGGUGAGUAACGCGUAGGUAACCUGCCUUGUAGCGGGGGAUAACUAUUGGAAACGAUAGCUAAUACCGCAUAACAAUGGAUGACACAUGUCAUUUAUUUGAAAGGGGCAAUUGCUCCACUACAAGAUGGACCUGCGUUGUAUUAGCUAGUAGGUGAGGUAACGGCUCACCUAGGCGACGAUACAUAGCCGACCUGAGAGGGUGAUCGGCCACACUGGGACUGAGACACGGCCCAGACUCCUACGGGAGGCAGCAGUAGGGAAUCUUCGGCAAUGGGGGCAACCCUGACCGAGCAACGCCGCGUGAGUGAAGAAGGUUUUCGGAUCGUAAAGCUCUGUUGUAAGUCAAGAACGAGUGUGAGAGUGGAAAGUUCACACUGUGACGGUAGCUUACCAGAAAGGGACGGCUAACUACGUGCCAGCAGCCGCGGUAAUACGUAGGUCCCGAGCGUUGUCCGGAUUUAUUGGGCGUAAAGCGAGCGCAGGCGGUUUGAUAAGUCUGAAGUUAAAGGCUGUGGCUCAACCAUAGUUCGCUUUGGAAACUGUCAAACUUGAGUGCAGAAGGGGAGAGUGGAAUUCCAUGUGUAGCGGUGAAAUGCGUAGAUAUAUGGAGGAACACCGGUGGCGAAAGCGGCUCUCUGGUCUGUAACUGACGCUGAGGCUCGAAAGCGUGGGGAGCGAACAGGAUUAGAUACCCUGGUAGUCCACGCCGUAAACGAUGAGUGCUAGGUGUUGGAUCCUUUCCGGGAUUCAGUGCCGCAGCUAACGCAUUAAGCACUCCGCCUGGGGAGUACGACCGCAAGGUUGAAACUCAAAGGAAUUGACGGGGGCCCGCACAAGCGGUGGAGCAUGUGGUUUAAUUCGAAGCAACGCGAAGAACCUUACCAGGUCUUGACAUCCCGAUGCUAUUUCUAGAGAUAGAAAGUUACUUCGGUACAUCGGUGACAGGUGGUGCAUGGUUGUCGUCAGCUCGUGUCGUGAGAUGUUGGGUUAAGUCCCGCAACGAGCGCAACCCCUAUUGUUAGUUGCCAUCAUUCAGUUGGGCACUCUAGCGAGACUGCCGGUAAUAAACCGGAGGAAGGUGGGGAUGACGUCAAAUCAUCAUGCCCCUUAUGACCUGGGCUACACACGUGCUACAAUGGUUGGUACAACGAGUUGCGAGUCGGUGACGGCAAGCUAAUCUCUUAAAGCCAAUCUCAGUUCGGAUUGUAGGCUGCAACUCGCCUACAUGAAGUCGGAAUCGCUAGUAAUCGCGGAUCAGCACGCCGCGGUGAAUACGUUCCCGGGCCUUGUACACACCGCCCGUCACACCACGAGAGUUUGUAACACCCGAAGUCGGUGAGGUAACCUUUGGAGCCAGCCG